AACCUUGUGUGAAAGACUUGCCUAUCUGGCAAACAGGAGAGAAUAUUCUCCUUGUUGUUCCCAAGAGAUAAGAUGUUCUGCCUCUGGAGAGACAUUUGCCCUAUACUGUAUUUAGAAAGUUUGUAAAGAAGCUUUACUUCUGUAUGAAUGUAUAAAGUUACAAUAUUUUAACAUGUUAAUUGAUUUAAUUUAAGUAGCAUGUGCAUUUCUAAGCUUUUGCAUAUUGAAGAACUUAUUAAUUGCUCUGCUUUUCUGAACAAAAAGAUAAAGAUCAAAAAAAUAAUAAGUUAAAAUAUAUUUCAAGGUAAUAUAAAGUCUUUUGAACACAAUGACACUUACAGGGGAUGGAGAUUGGAACUUUCUCCCAGCCCUCUCCCCCAUGCAACUCAGAAGGAAAUAUAUUUUUAGAAUUUUAAUCUGGGUAAUUAUUGGCCAAUAUAACUGUGAACUUCAUAACAAGGACCAUUAAAAUUAACUCUGAAAUAAUAAACCAACUCAAAAACCAUUGGGCGAUAAAGCAACAUCAUGGGAAAUUCUGUAGCACAUCAAAUGCCACAUCUGCAUACUUGUUAGGACAUAGGAUACAAAACAGAGAUUAAGUUGGGAAGGGAAAUGAGCAUUCUUCACAUUUUUCUUUUUUUCUCCAUCUCUCCUGACUGAUCAUAAAUUGAACGAAAAAUCAGAGUAGUUCAGAGCUUGGGAGUAUGCCAGAAAAUAAAGACCUUCAGAUCUUUACUGAACUAGUUUCUCACACACCUCUGGAAUACUUAAAUUUGAAUCCCUACUGAUGUGAGAAUAUAGCUCUGUUGGGGGCUUUGCACCACUACACAGUAUGAUAGUUCCUCUACAGAAGUGGAACAGCUCUCCCACAUUCUAUGGCGUCUUAUUCACUUGCCAAGAUUUUUUUUGUUUGUUCUAAGCAUUAAAGAUUUGCAGCCAAUCUUCUGCGUUGACUAAAAGGAGCCAGAUAUGCUAUCAGGACAAUUCUUCAAACUGAGGGUCAAAUCAGAGCAAUUCAUGAUUAUGCUAGGAUCUUUCUAAUGCUCUAGUGAGAUCUCCUUUCCAAUGAAGAGCUUUUGCCCUGAAGGUUAAUAAAUGUUAACUGGAUUGAAUAUUUUACAAGAGAAAAGGAUAGAAAGAGCAUUGGUGUUUUCAUUUUGUUGUGGGAAAGAGCUCUUGAGAACAUCAUGGACAGCAAAGAAAAGAAAUAAUUUCUACUUCAGGCACAAACAAUCAAACAAUUUCCACGUCAGGCUUAAUUUAUCAUAUUGUGCAUAUUUUAUGAAAAGACUCACUUCUUGGAAAAGUCAGUAAUGCUGGAAAAGUUAUGAGAAAAGACAACAACCAGCAACAAGAUGGAUGCACUUGAUUACAGCAGUGAUAGGUACACCAUUGGCAGAUGAGUAGUCAGGCUAGGGACAGAUCAUCUUAGAAGAGGUCCAUCAAUGUAGUUGCUAAUAGUCAACAUCACUUUGAUAACACCAAAUCAAUGUCUACUUUCAACAUAGGAACGUAGCAAUUAUAAUUUAGCUGGGAUUAGUUUAUUAAUCUUAAACAAGUCUUAUUUUAGGUUACCAAU